rnacentral:rRNA from 1 species
UGAGGAAUCUUGCGCAAUGGGGGAAACCCUGACGCAGCAACGCCGCGUGAGUGAGGAAGGUCUUCGGAUCGUAAAGCUCUGUCGGGUGGAAAGAAAUGUAUGGGGUUAAUAGCCUUCAUACUUGACGGUACCACCAAAGGAAGCACCGGCUAACUCCGUGCCAGCAGCCGCGGUAAUACGGGGGGUGCAAGCGUUGUUCGGAAUUAUUGGGCGUAAAGAGCGUGUAGGCGGCUUGGCAAGUCAGAUGUGAAAGCCCUGGGCUUAACCCAGGAAGUGCAUUUGAAACUGCAUAGCUAGGGUAGGGGAGAGGGAAGUGGAAUACCUGGUGUAGAGGUGAAAUUCGUAGAUAUCAGGAGGAACACCGGUGGCGAAGGCGACUUCCUGGCCCUAUACUGACGCUGAGACGCGAGAGCGUGGGUAGCAAACAG